rnacentral:tRNA from 1 species
CGCGGAGUAGAGAAGUGGUAUCUCGUCGGGCUCAUAACCCGAAGGUCACUGGUUCAAUCCCAGUCUCCGCAACCA